CUACACGACCUUGAUCUGGGACUUCUGGUUUCCAGAACUAAAAUAUCUAGAAAAGGAGGGAAAGAAAGCCUGAAGAAAGCUUCUAGAGAAGAUUUAAAAAGAGAUCCCUAGAAGCAAGUGUUGCCCUUGUCCUCCAUUCACACAGAUGGACAGACUUGGAAGCCCCUGGAAGUCAUGACAAACCUGUACCAGCAGCCCCUCACUAAAGAGAGGGUGACUCUUUGAGCUAACAAGCCUCCAAACUCAAAGGAAGAUCCUUCUUUCUGAGGAGUUUACUUGGCUUAGGUAUCUAGAUUGCUCUGUGUCCUGGGUCUACGUGAAGAAUAUGACACCCCCACCUUGCCCCCCAGCACCAUUCAGGAUAAGCAUCACUUAGUGAUCCCAGUGUGAAUUUGGUUUGUUUUUAAUUUUAUUUUUAUUUAAUUUAUUAAUUUUUAUUGUUUAGGUGGGAGGAGGGCAGAGAGAGAGGGAGAGA